rnacentral:misc_RNA from 1 species
AUAAGGAAGUUGUGUUUUUGUAGAGGUCAACUUGUUGACUUUCACCAUCAGAGGGUCACCCUUCAUGAAAUCCUGCGGAGCAACACCUGGUAGAUAAAAACAUUGAGCUUCAAAUGAAAACAAACAUAUCAGCACAAAAACCGAGAUCCACCGGUGAUUCAACUGAGGCCUUACGACCUCCAUAGCUCUCUCUCUCACUGAGAUCUAGAUCCACACACACAGACACACCGUGAAAAUCAAAAUCCGAGAGCGGUAGAGUACAAACUCCG